rnacentral:rRNA from 1 species
GAUGAACGCUGGCGGCGUGCCUAAUACAUGCAAGUAGAACGCUGAAGGAAGGAGCUUGCUCUUUCCGGAUGAGUUGCGAACGGGUGAGUAACGCGUAGGUAACCUGCCUGGUAGCGGGGGAUAACUAUUGGAAACGAUAGCUAAUACCGCAUAACAGUAGAUGUUGCAUGAUAUCUACUUAAAAGGUGCAAUUGCACCACUACCAGAUGGACCUGCGUUGUAUUAGCUAGUUGGUGAGGUAACGGCUCACCAAGGCGACGAUACAUAGCCGACCUGGGAGGGUGAUCGGCCACACUGGGACUGAGACACGGCCCAGACUCCUACGGGAGGCAGCAGUAGGGAAUCUUCGGCAAUGGACGGAAGUCUGACCGAGCAACGCCGCGUGAGUGAAGAAGGUUUUCGGAUCGUAAAGCUCUGUUGUAAGAGAAGAACGAGUGUGAGAGUGGAAAGUUCACACUGUGACGGUAUCUUACCAGAAAGGGACGGCUAACUACGUG